CCAAUUUUGAACAUUUCGAUCCCUGGCUCAGUGACUCCCUGCCCGAUUUCGAUCCAAGCCGUCUUCUCUCUGCGGGAGGCGGAGGAGCCGCAGGCACAGGCGCGAGGCGGCCGCCGACUCAGGCUGCUCGGCGCUGCGGUUGACCAGGUCGGUGGAGGAGCCACCCAAACGGCGAGAGAGCCUCCCACGCGUCUCUGCUCUGGUCGGUGGUCGUCGAGCCACGGGCGCGGAGGAGGAGUGAACCGCGUGGGCACGAUUAAUCACCGGACCAAACAGGUUACAAUAUCCCUUAUAUCAUCCGUGAGUGCUGUUGAAACUAUUCCAGAUUCUUAGGACUCCAAACCCUGAGGAACCAGGAUUACGAGGAAGGGCAGCAAAGGGCUCCAGAGUGAGUACAGCUGAAGCUCUCAUCAAAUCCAGCAGCC